UCGGUCCUCUUAACAUUACCUCUAAUGACUAUAGGUAUUUAGUCACCAUCGUAGAUAGGCAAACUGGCUGGCCGGAGGCGUAUUCAGUUAAAGUUAUUAGUGCAGAAACAGUGGCUAGAGUUUUAGUCGAGGGGUGGAUAUCACGUUUUGGUUGUCCUGCUAAGCUUACGAGUGACUAGGGCAGACAAUUCGAGAGUUCCCUUUUUAAAGAACUUAUGCGACUUUUAGGUAUAGACAAAAUUCGGACUACGCCUUAUCAUGCUCAGGCUAACGGUAUGGUAGAGCGAUUUCACCGUUCCCUGAAAGCAGCCCUUAUGGCCAGGUUGAGCUCUAAUUCUUGGGUAGAGGAAUUGCCGAUUGUGAUGUUAGGUUUACGUACGGCGACUAGGUCGGAUACCGGCGUAAGCUCAGCGCAGAUGACGUACGGCACUACGUUGCGCUUACCCGGAGAUUUUUAUGCCGAAAAUAGUUUUAAAAUUUUAGAUUAUAGUCAAUAUGUAGAGAGAUUACGUAGUAUAAUAAGUAAUUUGAAGCCCAAGCCAGCGACACAUAAGGACGCACGCACACUUUUUGUGCACCCAGAUUUAGAUAAGGUAGAUUAUGUUUUUGUUCGUGAUGAUACGGUACGUAAACCUUUGAAGACGCCUUACGAUGGUCCGUAUCGUGUUAUUCAAAGGCAUCCAAAGGUUUACGUCGUACAGUUGCCUGGGAGAAAAGCAACGAUUUCUAUAGAUCGUCUUAAGCCUGCAUAUAUUUUACGUGAAGCGACUUCCGACUCUUGUACAGAGCAACAGUCGGAGUCGCGCGAUAAAGUGUAUGCAGAGCCUAAGAAUGAGCCGGUCGUCGAACCCGCAAAAAUGCUUACGGCGCGUACGUCGAGCUACGGACGUUCGAUUAAACGCCCUGUAAGAUUUUAUUAAGUAGUAACAUACAGUUAGCGUAGCGUUUGCGAGGCGAUAGAUUAAUGUAUAUAGUGACAUAUUAAUUGUAUGCUUGUGGUACUCGAGUUAUAGUAUCGCUUGACAUAGCUUUGAAUAUGUAACCAGUUUUAGGAAGUUGUAAAGUAGGUUGCAAGUUUACAAUUUUAAGUAUUAAAUAUCGACGUUUUGAAAUUAAAUUUUACAUUUUUGAAUAUACUUUCGCAAAUUUAACUAUAUACUUUUGAGUUCGACAAGAUGGGCAAAAGCUAUAGUAAACAGGAGGAAAUUGUAAUAGCCCAAAAUGGUGCUAACGGCGCCAGUACAUCUUCCAUGGAAAGGAAAAUGGAAGUUUACGGCAUCGUCAUUACUAGUGUUGUGGUUAUCCUGUUGUUGAUUGGCGCAUAUUUCGUGAUGAAUAAGUGCAAUAAAAGUGUUAAAAAGUGGGCUAGGAAAGAGAUGUUGUCGGUUGUGUCCGUUGUUCCAGCUGA